GCUUAGAAGCAGCCAUCAUUUAAAAAGUGCGUAAUAGCUUACCGGUCGAGCAUUUCUGCGCCGAUAAUGAUCGGGGCUAAGCAUGUCACCGAAGCCACGGGUUUGUCGAGCUCGAGAGCUCGGCAAGCGGUAGGGGAGCGUUCCACGCAAGGACGAAGGGUGACCGUAAGGACGCCUGGACGACGUGGAAGUGAUUAUGCCGGAACGAGUAGCGAUAAAAGAAGUGAGAAUCUUCUUCGCCGUAAGCCCAAGGUUUCCUGGGGAAGGUAAUUCCGCCCAGGGUUAGUCGGAACCUAAGGCGAGGCCGAAAGGCGUAGUCGAUGGACAACAGGUUAAUAUUCCUGUACCACCUUGUUCGUGUUUGAGCGGCGGGGGGACGGAGAAGGCUAGGUGAUCGCACGAUUAGAAAUGUGCGUACAAGCCCGUAGGGGGAGAUUCUAGGCAAAUCCGGAAUCUCACUACCCCGAGAAGUGAUGUCGAGCCUCUAUUUGGCGAAGUCAUCGAUGCCAUACUCCCGAGAAAAACCUCGUUUGUGAGCGUUCAGGGUGUCCGUACCGUAAACUGACACAGGUGGGCGAGGUGAGUAUCCAAAGGCGCUCGAGAGAACCCUGGUUAAGGAACUAGGCAAAUUAACCCCGUAACUUCGGGAUAAGGGGUGCCCCUGCUAGUGCGUAGACUUGCUUUGCAAGCUGGUGGGGGCCGCAGAGAAAUGGGUCAAGCGACUGUUUACUAAAAACACAGGUCUGUGCUAACUCGAAAGAGGACGUAUACAGACUGACGCCUGCCCAAUGCCGGAAGGUUAAGGGAAGAGGUUAUCCUUCGGGAGAAGCUUUGAACUGAAGCCCCGGUGAAUGGCGGCCGUAACUAUGACGGUCCUAAGGUAGCGAAGUUCCUUGUCGGGUAAGUUCCGACCCGCACGAAUGGCGUAACGACUUGACCACUGUCUCAACCAGGGACUCGGCGAAACUGUAGUAGCGGUGAAGAUGCCGCUUUCCCGCAGCAGGACGGAAAGACCCCGUGGACCUUUACUGCAGCUUAGUAUUGGGUUUUGACGUAGCAUGUGUAGGAUAGGUGGGAGACGUUGAUCGGGGGGCGCUAGCUCUCCAGGAGUCGUUGGUGAAAUACCACCCUUGUUACGUUAGAAUUCUAACCAACAUCCGUGAAGCCGGAUUUGAGACAGUGCUAGGUGGGCAGUUUGACUGGGGCGGUCUCCUCCUAAAAGGUAGCGGAGGAGUUCAAAGGCUUCCUCAAUGCGGUUGGCAAUCGCAUGUAGAGCGUAAAGGUAUAAGGGAGCUUAACUGCGAGACAAAAAGGUCGAGCAGGUGUGAAAGCAGGACUUAGUGAUCCGGCGGUUCCGAGUGGAAGGGCCGUCGCUCAACUGAUAAAAGGUACCCCGGGGAUAACAGGCUGAUCUCCCCCAAGAGUCCAUA
rnacentral:rRNA from 1 species